rnacentral:tRNA from 1 species
CGGGGUAUGGUGUAAUUGGUAACCACGGCAGGCUCAAACCCUGCUGCCAAUUGGCGUGAAGGUUCGAAUCCUUCUACCCCGACCA